rnacentral:rRNA from 1 species
AGAGUUUGAUCCUGGCUCAGAACGAACGCUGGCGGCGUGGAUAAGACAUGCAAGUCGAGCGGAACAUUCGGGGUAGCAAUAUUCCGGAUGUUCAGCGGCGCAAGGGUGCGUAACACGUGGGCAAUUUGCCAUAAAGCCUGGGAUAACUCGCUGAAAGGCGAGCUAAUACCGGAUGUGAAGUUUGGAAGGCAUCUUCCGGACUUUAAAGUUGGGGACCGCAAGGCCUGACACUUUAUGAUAAGCCCGCGGCCUAUCAGCUAGUUGGUGAGGUAACGGCUCACCAAGGCGAAGACGGGUAGCUGGUCUGAGAGGACGACCAGCCACACUGGAACUGAGACACGGUCCAGACACCUACGGGUGGCAGCAGUCGAGAAUUUUUCACAAUGGGCGAAAGCCUGAUGGAGCGACGCCGCGUGGGGGAUGAAUGGCUUCGGCCCGUAAACCCCUGUCAUUUGCGAACAAACCUUUCCACCUAACACGUGGAGAGCUGAUUGUAGCGGAAGAGGAAGGGACGGCUAACUCUGUGCCAGCAGCCGCGGUAAUACAGAGGUCCCAAGCGUUGUUCGGAUUCACUGGGCGUAAAGGGUGCGUAGGCGGUCAGGUAAGUCUGAUGUGAAAUCCCGAAGCCUAACUUCGGAACUGCAUUGGAUACUAUCUGGCUAGAGGAAUGGAGGGGAGACUGGAAUGCUCGGUGUAGCAGUGAAAUGCGUAGAUAUCGAGCGGAACACCAGUGGCGAAGGCGAGUCUCUGGACAUUUCCUGACGCUGAGGCACGAAAGCCAGGGGAGCAAACGGGAUUAGAUACCCUAGUAGUCC